rnacentral:lncRNA from 1 species
ACCUAGCCAUGCAUAGUUAAUAACUUCUUAAAGAUUUCUUUAUGAUUCUUUAGUCCAAAUAUGUUUUUGCCCAUUUGUAUUGGAAGAAGUGACUUUAAUGGUUUUAGUUUUAGGUAUGAAGAGAGGUAGUUGCAUCAUUCAGGAAGACUGGGAUGAAACAGUUUUCGAGGAGUAUGUUGAAUGGUCUUUUUCCCUUGACAUUUCUUUUUAGGUGCGACACAUUCAUUUGUAUUAUUCAUUUUUUUUUCUUUUUAGAUUGAGUGGAAUCCUAAAACAUCAUUAAUUAAACAAGUUAGGUAAUAGAUAAAAUAUGUUCAUAAAUAUGAAUGAAUAUAGUUGUAUAAACAUACCUUAUCAACAACAUGUAUGAGAUUAAUUGGCCAUGUCACAAAUGUACAUAUUGUCUUUCUCUUCUCUCCCAAAAUGUCUCUUCUCUCCUAUAUCUCUCUCAAUUUCAUUUUUAGUAUUAGGGUAAUAAUAUGCAGACCCCUUUUACUCUUCUCUUUUUUUAUAUUUUCUAUUUUAUCUCUAUCU